GUUUGUUUUUGUGUACUACUUAUUUCUUUGGCAUUUUGGCUUGUCAAAAUUCUUGUCCCAGCACAAGUGGUCCCAGCACUUUGCUCUGUCUUAGUGAUCUUCUGUUCAUUUGCCUGCAGGUUUGUGCUGGCUAACUGUAAGCCAAAUGGUGAGAUUCACAAAUUGAAAAAGUGAAGUCCUGUGAUCAGUCUCUUCAUCACUCUUAUAACGUUUGCUUUAACUAUAGAAGAAGGCACCAAGAAAAAAUAAUGUUCUGAAUGUGACAUCAUAAAGCUGAAAUGUAGGUAUGACAUCAGACUCUCACAUCAGCACUGGGUGGUCUAAGCAGAGCAGCGGAGGAACCUCAAGCUCAUGCAUAAGGAGAGAUGCGAGGAAGGGGUCCGCCUUUUGAGAACAACAGCGAUACAGUUUAAACUUAGCAACUCUCUAGGUAACACUGCCAAUUCUGCUUUGACAAUUAUUGAUGAAGGAAAGCGUCCCAAAGCAAGACCAGAAGGUGCUAGAUGCCCUGCAUCAUGGAGGUGA
rnacentral:lncRNA from 1 species